CAUCUUAUUCACAGCAAGACGAACCCUAUCGUUUUGUGCUCCGUUCUGUCUUGUUUUCUUCCGAUGUGCACACUGUAAUAAUGCGUCUUGUGUACGUCUGUCGUUGGGGGAUGAAAAGGGGUAGCGGAAAGAAAAUUCUGUUUAUGUCU
ensembl:ncRNA ZK867.20 ncRNA